GUGUUUGGUCUGUCUUUGGGGGUCCCCCUAGGAAGGGUAGGGGUGGCCCACGGCCUGUGGCAGCUGAUGCCCUGGUCUGUUGGCAUGUCACUCAGAGACAGAGCCGGAGGGAGAAAUCCUACUCCUUUAUCUGAGGAGCUUCUGCUGUUCUCUGUCUCCGGACAGGCUCGGCAGGGAGGGAGCUGGGUCACUGCCCACCACACCAGCCCGAGCCCUCUCUCCUCCCACCUCUAUGCCCACAGCCACAGCCUGCUCCCCAGGGGCCCAAAGGACCGUCUGGGAGCCUGGCCGCUCAGCCCUGCUGGCCUAGUCUAAGCUCCUGGACCGCCAGGCAGGCCCAGUUGGCGGCCAGGAGCGCCUAAACAGCCCAGCCUUUGUCCCUGGCAGUCACAGGCCCGCUUGCUCAGUGCCCGGCUCGUUUUUCCCAGGCCAGCCUGGGCAGGCUGAGGCCCCGAAGCCAUGGAAACGACACAGACCACCUGUCCCGCCCCAGCUCUGCUCUCGGCGUGCCCAGGGCCACAGCUGAGCCGAAGAGAGCCCAGAGACUUCUAGCCGUCCAGGGCUCCUCACACGCAGACUCUGAGGACCAGGCUACCAAGGGCUCCUUCCUCUGCCACAGGCCCCCUCCCUUCUUCUCCAGCCACCCGCCCCUGGGGCCCAGGAAGGAGGCCAGCUCAGUGAAAUAACUCUCCAAUCAGAGCUGCCCCAAGAAGAAAGGGGCUGCCUUGAAGGGUGGUGAAGCACACAGCACGUGUGAGAGCCGACUCCUGGAGCUGCUUGUAUAAGGGUAGCUGUUGUGGGUGUGGAGUCGCGCUGCUGGAAUGAAGGAGCCGGGAAGGAUUCACUCGCCGAUCCACUCCUUUGUUCAGUCAGCAACAGUGGCAUCCUCGUUUUGGUCUGAGGCCCGGUGCCGGGUGCUGAGCAUGAAAUGUGGGAUCCGGGUAGGGCCCCUCCUUCUUGGGAGGCAGAGUCCGUGGAUAAGAGGAUGUGAGAAGGAGACACACGAGCCAAUAGUCAGGCACAGACACCACAGAGAUCAUGAGUCCAGGGCCCCAUGCCAUGGGUGGGGACACUGAGGCACAAGGGAAUGGACAUAUGACACGGAGCGUCGAUAACUCCCCAGAGCUUCUGGCCCAUGAAACAUUCAAGCUAUGAAGGCCCAUGGGAGCUCUGAGAAGGGGAGACCCUCUUCUGGGUUUGGAGAGUGACUUGGGAACGGCUCUGUGAUGAGGCCAGGGUGCGGCUAGAUGGGAUCCACUCCUUUGAGGGAACUUCCCCAGGACGGGUUAUGGAUCAGGCUGGGCUGCGGAUGCCUCGGUAGUCUGGGGAGACUGUUCCUGGGACCGACUGAGUUUUGGGCUCGUACCGUCUUGCCGUGGGCCUGGCUCUUAGUGCCACCUGGUCCGGUCAGCUAGUGUAACAGAUGGUUCCGGAACAGCGAGAGAGAACUAUGGCCAUGUUAUUCUGCUUACAGAAUCUGCGGCUCAGGGACCCCGAAAGGCCCAGUGGGGCCGAUUCCCCCGCGGAUGUCCCGAGUUGUUGGGGCGGGAGGGGCUGCAGCCGGUGGGGUCCAUCUUAACCCACGGGUCUGGCGCUGGGACUAGGGGGACCUGUGGGCUGGAACUGGCAGCCAGGGGGCCUCCACACGGGCUCUCUGGGCGUCAGGGCUUCCUCACAGCCCGGAGGCCUGGGGGGACUUGAACUUCACUCUUAACACAGCGGCUCGGGGCUCUGGGAUGCAAGCCAUUCGGCCCUUUAUGACUCAGCCUUGGAAGUCCCCCAGCAGCCCGCUGCCGGCUCUGUCGGCUGAAGAAGUCACAAGCCUUCCCUAGAUGCGGGAGGCUCGGACACGGACUCCACCUUUCAGUGGGAGGAGCACCAAGGACUUGGCCGCCAUAUUUAGAAGCCGCAGGCUACUUCCUAGUCCCAGCCUGCGGGGUCCCGCUCUCCUCUUCCAGAAGUUCUACCAUCCGCUGGGGCUGGGCUUAAAUCCCAAGCCAGAAAACCUUCCUGCAAACUCCUGCUCCAGUAGCUCUUUCUGGAUCUCCUUCUAACUAAUCAUGAGGACGGCCACGAGCGUGCCGUCCUCUCCUUGGCACUGUGCCCAGGUAGUCACACGUGUGUGCAGCUUCUCACGGCAACUUCGUGGGACAUUUCAGAGGAGGGGGCCUCUCACCUGGAGUUUUGCAGGAUGAGUAGGAGUUCCCUAGACCCAGGGAGUGGGCAAAAAGCUAUGGUGAGCUUGGGCAUGGACACAGUCAGUCGUGGCUGGAGGACAGUUUCCCGUACUCUGGAACAAGGGUUUGUUUAGUUGGGAAGUGCGUCAGACAGACCGGUGUCCUGGGAGGAUCCACCCCCCCCCCCCCACUGCCCUGACAGUUUGGGAAGGCCAGAGCUGGUGCUUGCCCACAGGCCUCCCACAGGAGCCUGCCUGCCUGUGCCUCUUAUUUUGUUUUACAUGGUUUCAAGGGUCCUUUCAACUGUCCCCUGCGGCAGGUGGGUGGCCACUGUUCGCCCCGUUUUACAGAUGGGAAACAGGCUGAGAAGUUUCUCUGGCAUCUGAGCUGGGUGAGAGGGCCGGGACCCGGGGCUGGGUGCUCCCUUUGCCCGCCGCGGACACUCAAACCUCAGGAACCACCCCAGGCAGUGCGGGAAGCUCCUCCUCUCUCCCCAGCACCCUGGCUCCCCCCCCCCCUCAGCCCUGACCACAUGGCCUAGAAAAGCCCAUUCAGAGCCAGCUGCCGGCAGCAGCCGGGCCUCUGCUUUAUAUCAGCAGGCGGCAGGGAGCACGGUCACGUGCCCACUUAUGUCCAGUGCUCCUUGUGGCCGCGGGGUUGGAGGGGGCCAAGAACGAAGGGCGAUGCUGGACUGGGGUGGGGGAAACUGAGGCCCAGGAGCCACUAGGGCUGGGAUUCCGCAGUGAGCUCGAACCUGACCUCCCCCUCCCGCCCAGCCGUUCGUUUCCGGCUCUUGAAAUAGAUCCUCGGCCCGCCUGGUAGCCAGCCGGCCAAGGGCAGGGCCCCGCUGCCGGCCUGCUCCAGCCUGGCCCGGUCACCCCGAAAAGCUGACGAAAGCCAGCUGCCCUCGCAGCGGUCGCUCGGCAGGCAGACACCGGAGGCGUGACGCCUGCCCUCGUCGGGCACCGAGGUUGCCAGGAGGGCCCUUGGAAAGCUCCUUUCCACUCCCACUCCCAGGGGCUUUGCAGCUCCUUUCCGGAAUGGCUUCCUGAUGAGGUGCCCUCAGCCCCCACUGCUCUGGAGACGGGCCUCUGAAUGCACAGUUGCCCGGGAAGUGUGCAGUGGCGCCCUGGGGGUCAAGACGCGAUCGGAGGCUCUGAUGCAGAAGGAGGGCGUGCACACAGGGGACCCGGGGGAAUCGGUCUUGCUGCCUGUAACCUCGGCCUUCAAGUCAAUAGAGGGAAGCAGGCCCAAGAAGGUUGUGCUGCAGACACACCCAGGGCAGGGCCUGACUCCAGGCCCUUCAUGCACUGGACCCUGGGCAGCCCCUGCCUAUCUGGCUGUGUGUCGCUGGGGAGCUCACGCAACCUCUCUGUGCUAUAGAGCGGUAAUGACAGUGCUCACGAGGGAUCUGGAGAGGGAUUCGGGGGAUUCGGGGAGGAGAAAGACAAGUCCGGCUCUGGGGGUUCUUGCCACCAGGGGGUAGCUGGGGGCAGGAGAGAAGGACUCAUUCCUGGGGACUUGGGGCCUGUCAGGAGGUUGGGGAGACCAAGCGGCCCCAAAGAGGAGAGUGGUGUCUCGGAAGGAUUGGGUGGGAGUAUAGGAGGCUAGGGGCACAGGGACACGUCACUCCUGGGCCGACAGCCUCUAGGAGUCUGACCUUGUGCUGCGAGUGGCCCUAGGGACAGUGGCCGGUUAGGCCAUCCAUUUGUUCCCUCCACAGAAGGCCACGACGCCCCCAUGGGCCCGGCCGAGGGGAGCUUUGCCCCCGCGGGGCCUGGUGCAGACGAGAGGCCUCUGGCUCUCAUCACUCCCAUGUCCCAGGGUCUCCCUUCUCGGGUCCAGGCCGGGGGUACCGAGGUGGGAGGGAAGCCGCCAUGACGCCUGGCGGCCCGCACAGCUGGCUGCAAUUAGGAAAGCGGAGACGUUGUUAUGUGGGGGUUAAAUCAAAACGAAUCUCCUUAAGGGGAGGGCCAGGCCCCCUCCAGAAAGCAUUUUCAUGAUGUAGCCCCGGGCCUCGGAAGUGGGGUCCCUGGACUCUAGGGGUGUGAGGGAAGAGGACAGGGCGGGUGAGGUCACCACCAGGCCUGGCCUUGCCGGGAUGGGGGGCCUGGGUGCCUCCCGCCCCACCGUCCCAAUCCCAGCGCCGUCCACCUCCCGCCGAUCCCUGCCUGGCUUGGGCUGCACCCCGACGCUGGCCCUCAUAUGGCCCCUACAGUCUGUCCCUCCGUCCGUCUGUCCCUUUUUCCUGCCGCCUGUGCCAGGGCCUGCUAUGGGACCCGGAGCUGGGACGCGGAGGGGUGGGUGGCUUCCCCCUCCACGGAAGGACACCGCCCUGCUCUUGGCCUCGGGUGGCCUCCAGCAUGGGGGGCGGCCAGGCUGCAGGCCUGCAAACAGGACCGUGGCUGUUUAUUCAGCUGUCGGAGUUGGCGUCCAUUCCCCUACCCGGGCCUGGUCUUUCUGGAGUUAAAAUGCUCAGCCCUGUCCCCACCCCGGGCAGUGACCUCAGCAGGAUUUCUCUGGACGAGGCCUCCAGGGCCAGCCACCGAGCGGAGGGCUGUGGGCCGGCUCUCAGCCAGAGCCCUGUGGACAGUGGGAGCCCGGGUGGGGGGGCCCCCUCUCAGAGUGGACGUCUCCUCUCCCCCUGCAGUUCCUGCGCCAGACAAGGUCCCCGUGCCGAGGAAGCAGACCGCACUCUCGGUGUGGGUCACUGGGGAGCAUGGGACAAAGGGACACGUCUGGGCAGACCUGAGGAAAGCUGCAGGGAGGGAGUUUGCAGGGGUGGUAGCCAAGGGGUGUGUGUGUCGGGGGGAGGGGAGCAAGGGUCCCAAGCCCCUGGCCUUGUGCCAGCACCCUCCGCCAGCUGAGCCCCCUGUCAGUGCACGGGGUCUGCGGGCGUCCAUCCAGGCCAGCCCGCAGGGCCGGCUGCAGCGGGGGACGGUGGGUCUGACAACGUAAAGGGCCUGUGAUCCGCCAAGGCCCUGAGAGGCAGAACCGCCGUUCCAAGUGCCCCUCGGCAUUCGAGAGAUUGUCCUUCCUGUUGUGGAGCCCAGAGUAGGGCCUAAAGCCAACGAUCGGCGGGAGCUCGAUGGCGUUUCUUCUAGAACUUCGCCAGGCCCUGUCGGGGGCAGCGUCUUGCUCCCCUCCGCUCCCAGGCUAGGGGGUGGUCGAGGCUGCAGCAGCUCCACCCUUCUGCCGGCUCCCUUCGGCACUCCCUCUGGGGACCACCCGGUUUGGAGCCGCUGCCUGGAAGGGUCGCAGCCCACAGCAGGGAGCGGUCAGCCGACCCACCUGCCCCCCUGCGCGGCCCCGGACCCGGUGGAGCAGAGACGAGGCGUUUCCUGCGGUGCCCUGCCGAAUUCUGGACCCAGAGAGUCCGUGAGCCUAAGAAUGUGGCCGCGGUGAGGCUCCAGCGCUGGGGGCCGUCCGUCAGCGGCCAACAGAGCAAAUGGGGAAGCUGAGGACACAGGUUGGCCCCCGGCAUCCGUGAGCGGUCACUCCAGUCUCUCUCCGAAUGACACCUUCUGGCCUUUGUGGGCUCUGCACCUGCAAGCCUGCGAGGUUCUACCACCCCCUCCCUUGUACAGUUGAAGGAGUGAUAGACACAGGCCCAGGCCGCUGCGUGGACGAAGCCAGGUGCGGAGGUGGGCACGUGCUGAGGGCCUGGCCGAUGGGGGGAUCAGUAUGUCCCAGCAGGCCGAUUCGGAGUUUUCCCCAAAGCUCAGCCCAGGUCUGGUCCGAGCUGCUGGUCAGAAUGUAUACAGAAUGGAAGAAAGUUCCACACUAAGUCAUUGGCUUUAGGCACUACUCUCUGGGCUUAAGGCCCCAGUCCCCAUGUCACCUUCCCCAGGAGGGAAGCUUUGACAUUAAAACCUGAUGCCUUCAAACUCUACCCUUGGAGUUAUCAUUUGGGUAAAUUGCCGCUUUCUCUUUUUGCCUGGGCUGCUGGGAAGCUCUGAACUAAAGCCAUGAGUACGUCUCUGGCUCCACUUAGACUUGACUUCUUGUCCUCGCUUUCUGUUCCUUUUUUUAUCUCCUGUUCUAAUUACAUGUCCUGCUGCAUCUUUGUUGCACCCCCAAAUCUCUUCUGGGCAAGGCCUGACUCCUUUCUCUAGGUUUCUUAGCCGCCACAGCCCUCUAGAUGCCCCCACCCCUGAGUGAUGUGGGAAAGCGUGGUGGCGGGGGCCCAAGAGGCCCUGCCCUGGGCUUGGGCUCAAAUCCAUGCUCCCCUCCUCUGUGUGGUGUGGGGACCCCCUCCACCCACACCUGUGCCCACUCAGUGCUCAGUGCACGUGGAAGGCUUCAGGGAGGAGGGAACGCACAGGCAGAGGUUAAGCGGUACCUCUCUUCUCCGUUUCUCUCUCUUCUCCUGUUCUGUUCCCCGGCGCGUCUCCUUCAGCCUGGCCCCGGGCUCCUGAGUUCAGCAGGCACAAAAGUGCCCCCCGCCCGCCCCCACACUGAGCUUCCUCCUCCCAUCGGACGAGGCCCUCAGGUGGCACUCCAGGCCUCUGUCUCCGGGAGCCCAGGGGACAGGGCGAUGGGCGAUGGACAAAGUUCCAGGGGGCUGUGAGAGCCUGGGGGCAGGUGGGGACCAUCAGGGGAGGCUGCCUACAGGAGGGAGCCUCAAAGGGGAGCCGGAAGCCGAGGACGGGCAGCCAGGAGGAGGCCAGGUCGGGGAGAACAGGUGGGAAGGAGGCUGAAGGCAGAUGAGAGCAAGUGGACGGAGCCCCCGAAGCCAAGGAACCGAGAAGGUCCCUUGACCCUGACCUUGUGAGCUCGCCUGCUGGGCCAGAGAGGCCUGUGUUGGCAAAGACCGGGAGGCGGGGCUCCCGUGUGCCUGGGGACGAGGGAGCAGGCGGGAGGCUCAGGAGGGCUGUGCCUCCAGCGAGGCAAUGGGGAGCCACAGAAGGUUAUGGGGGGCGCGUGUGCCAGGCCCUCAGAUGCUCACACUGAAUGCCCAGUUCUGAUCUGCUCAUUUACUCGGACUCCAUGACUCCUCGGACCGAGGGACAUAACCAUCCUUGCCUGCCCUGGGGGACGUGCCACUCUCGACAACACCGGCACCCACACCAGGCCAGGCAGCUGCGGAGAGGAGGCAGAUAUCUCGGGGAGGGAUCACAGAGAUUCCUGGCAGCUUCUGACAUUAAAAUAGACUUUGGAAGGCAAAUGGCUGAGACAUUUUGAAAGAAAAACAAUAAAAGAAGCUUCUAGAAGCC